rnacentral:lncRNA from 1 species
UGAUCUUUGGAUUUAUCUCUAGUCUCUAACCUUUUGUGGACAUAUGUCUGGAAGGGAUGGUCUGUGCCACUGAGUUCAGCCUUCUCUGCAGGAAACCUCACCACACAGGCAACUGGGGAGACAGCAUUGAAACAUCAACAGCAAGAAUCCUGGCUGGUUUCUGGAGGAAAGUAUGGGAAGAAUGAAAAGGCCAAAAUGUCAUAGGUGACACCACCAGUGAGGAAUAAUGGACAUUAUCACUUGAUUUAUGGAGCACCAAGAAAUUCACAUGAAUUGGAAUAAUUUAUUUGCCUGUAGUUCCCAGACUUUUUGAAGGCAACUGUAGUCUAAAAAUCUUCUUUCCAGCAUUUCUGAUGUCACACAGACAGAAUUAGAGCAGCUUCCGAGUGACUUCCUCAGUUCUGAAAUUAUUUCUAA